rnacentral:rRNA from 1 species
UACAGAGGGUGCGAGCGUUGUUCGGAAUUACUGGGCGUAAAGCGUGCGCAGGCGGUUCGUUGUGUCGGCGGUGAAAUCCCCGGGCUCAACCUGGGAAUGGCCGUUGAAACUGGCGAACUGGAGUGUGGCAGAGGGGGGUGGAAUUCCGCGUGUAGCAGUGAAAUGCGUAGAGAUGCGGAGGAACACCGAUGGCGAAGGCAGCCCCCUGGGCUGACACUGACGCUCAGGCACGAAAGCGUGGGGAGCAAACAGG